rnacentral:rRNA from 1 species
UCGAACGAAACUUCUUUAUCACCGAGUGCUUGCACUCACCGAUAAAGAGUUGAGUGGCGAACGGGUGAGUAACACGUGGGCAACCUGCCCAAAAGAGGGGGAUAACACUUGGAAACAGGUGCUAAUACCGCAUAACCAUAGUUACCGCAUGGUAACUAUGUAAAAGGUGGCUAUGCUACCGCUUUUGGAUGGGCCCGCGGCGCAUUAGCUAGUUGGUGGGGUAAAGGCUUACCAAGGCAAUGAUGCGUAGCCGAACUGAGAGGUUGAUCGGCCACAUUGGGACUGAGACACGGCCCAAACUCCUACGGGAGGCAGCAGUAGGGAAUCUUCCACAAUGGGCGAAAGCCUGAUGGAACAACGCCGCGUGGGUGAAGAAGGUCUUCGGAUCGUAAAACCCUGUUGUUAGAGAAGAAAGUGCGUGAGAGUAACUGUUCACGUUUCGACGGUAUCUAACCAGAAAGCCACGGCUAACUACGUGCCAGCAGCCGCGGUAAUACGUAGGUGGCAAGCGUUAUCCGGAUUUAUUGGGCGUAAAGGGAACGCAGGCGGUCUUUUAAGUCUGAUGUGAAAGCCUUCGGCUUAACCGGAGUAGUGCAUUGGAAACUGGGAGACUUGAGUGCAGAAGAGGAGA